AUUGAACGCUGGCGGCAUGCCUUACACAUGCAAGUCGAACGGCAGCACGGGAGCAACCCUGGUGGCGAGUGGCGAACGGGUGAGUAAUGCAUCGGAACGUGCCCGGUCGUGGGGGAUAACGCAGCGAAAGCUGCGUUAAUACCGCAUACGAUCUAAGGAUGAAAGCGGGGGACCGUAAGGCCUCGCGCGAUCGGAGCGGCCGAUGUCAGAUUAGGUAGUUGGUGGGGUAAAGGCUCACCAAGCCAACGAUCUGUAGCUGGUCUGAGAGGACGACCAGCCACACUGGGACUGGGACACGGCCCAGACUCCUACGGGAGGCAGCAGUGGGGAAUUUUGGACAAUGGGCGAAAGCCUGAUCCAGCAAUGCCGCGUGCAGGAAGAAGGCCUUCGGGUUGUAAACUGCUUUUGUACGGAGCGAAAAGGUCUCCUCUAAUACAGGGGGCUCAUGACGGUACCGUAAGAAUAAGCACCGGCUAACUACGUGCCAGCAGCCGCCGUAA
rnacentral:rRNA from 1 species